CACGUAGGGCGCAAGCGUUGUCCGGAAUUAUUGGGCGUAAAGAGCUCGUAGGCGGUCUGUUACGUCUGCUGUGAAAAUCCGGGGCUUAACCCUGGGCUUGCAGUGGAUACGGGUAGACUAGAGGCAGGUAGGGGAGAAUGGAAUUCCCGGUGUAGCGGUGAAAUGCGCAGAUAUCGGGAGGAACACCGGUGGCGAAGGCGGUGCUCUGGACAGUUCCUGACACUGAGGCACGAAGGCCAGGGGAGCAAACGGG
rnacentral:rRNA from 1 species